GGUAAGGUGGCUGAGUGCUUAAGCGGUGGAUUGUAGCCCCAUAGACGGGGGUUUGAUUCCUCCCCUUAUCA
rnacentral:tRNA from 1 species